rnacentral:lncRNA from 1 species
UGGGGAGAGGGAGGUUGGGCAGCGAGGAUGCGCCUAGCGAGCAGCGUUGCCUUUGCCCCGGCGGUGGCCCUGGUCCAGGUUUCCUCUCCAGAAGUCCUGCCGAGAGCCCUGCUCCGGGGCGGGAGGCUGACGCAGGGCGCACGGGUCUCGGCCUGAGUAUUAGCGGGCCGUGCCCCUAGCUUGCAGCCUUCUGGGGCCAGCUCAGCCUCCCCUCUUCCACCCUUCCUAAUUGAGCUUUGGCAGAACAUGUAGGCGAAUUUACUUAGCAUUUUCCUGACACUGUAUAUUUGGGAGGCGCUUUGCCGUCCCUGAUUAGCUAAUUAACAAGGUGGGAAAGCAAAAUAGACCCUGAAACGCAUGGCUAAUGCCUUUAGUCUAGCAACUCUCUAAGAACCACUGAAGCUUUAGGCUGUUUGCGGUGAGAGAUGCUUUUGGCCAAGGUGCUGCAGGGAGAGCUAUUCAGUGUCUUCUGGUUGCCUGAGAAGGCUUGGGUGUUAAAGGCGAUGCUUUCGCUGCCUCUCCUUGCUUGUAUUGUUUAUUAAGGGCCUCCAAUCUAUGGUGGAUUAUUCGGUUUUCUUCGCUUAAGUGCAGAGCAAUUAGAAGUGCUGCUGACAAAGCAGUUAAGGGAAAAACACCCAAACCUGCGGUCCACCUAAGUCUGGAUAGUUGUCUGCUUUACCAGGUUACCCUCCUGUGCAGAAAAGCUAGGAUCUUCCUGUCCCCUCCCCAUCUUCUUGGUAGGACUGUAUCCAACUGGGUGGCGGUUCCUCGUUCCUCAAUUAGUCCACAGAGCUCUUGCCGCCUGGGUUUACGGACCUGCCCAGGGGCAUUCUCUACGAGUGGGCUUAAUUAGCACUUUCAUCUGCCCAUUAAGCAAUAGGGCUUGAAAUCAGGCACUGUUGUAGUUUUGAAUCUUUAAUAAUAUCUAAUUCAUUUUAAUAGUGUUUCUAUAAUAAUCUUUCUAUUAGCAUGCCAGCUCUGCAACACCAGUACUUUUCGUGUAGAAGCAGCCAUUUCCGUGAAAUAUUAUCAUGGCAAAAACAGUUCUCCCUCAGAUCUGCAGCCCUCUGUACUUGGAUAAUUACUGCUGGAGGUUGUUACAGUUUUUAUUCUUUGGGGCAAUAGGCGUUACAAUGUGUUUGAUCUGUGAGGUCGUUAUGGGGUCAUCCCUCCUUGUGGGGGGGAUCUCAGUCACUGUGUCACUUGAGUUUUGUGUGGACCUAAUAAUGUGUGAAUUUUGCCCCCAUGCUGAUUUCUCCUUGAACAAGGUACAGAGCUAACAAGAUUGAGUUUUGAUUUGCCAGCCUAAAUUUUAAGACGGAUGAGAGCUAUGGCGCUGGUUUGGUUGGCAUAUAUGCCAGACAUUGUUUUGGGUGCUUUACAGAUAUUAACUUCGCUGAUUCUCACAACAACCCUAAUAUUUCCCCAGUUUCAGAUGAUGAAAAUGGGGCCCAGUUAACUGACUGAGGUCACAUAGUUAAGGAAAGGACAGCCACAUCCUAAGGCAAGGAGGCAGCUGACCUCAGCAUCCAGGUGCCUAACCACUGGCCUAGCCUGCCUUUGUAGGUUAUUUUUUUUCCCCAGCAAAUAUUUAUUUGCACCUGCUGCCUGUGUACACGCAGCACUGUGGGGAGAAGAGCACGUAGGGUGUGAGAGCUGACCCUGGGUCAGCAGUUCUCCUUCUGGUCUUCACUCUGUCAACAACGAAGCUGUCAUUUUGAGCAGGGUACCUGAUCUCCCUGCAGAUGAACUAAGUAGCCUUCGCCUCCUGAGGAGCUGGAGAGAUGCGUCCCUGCAUGUAAGAAUUAAAUGUCCUCCUCCCUGAAGCACAGUGUAAGAUCAGGGAUCAGACGAGUUGGGGGUUGCAGGUGAGUGUGUGUGUGUGUGUGUGUGUGUGUGUGUGUGCACAGAGGAGGAGCUUGUCAGCCUCUUCCCCGGUUUGGGGGGCAUUGGGAGUGGACCUGGGAAGUCCAGUGGGGUGAAGAAGAGAGACAGCUUUGUGUGUCGACUCCAAAGCUGUAUCCUAGACGGGGGCCAGCGUCUAAAUGUGUGCAGACCGGAAAAUAGAUUUUCUUUCUUCUCAAGAGGGGAUGCACCAUGGGAAACUCCCUCUGCCUAAUGAAGAAGUAGAAUAUACUGUUUCCCCUCGGGUGUUGCCACCUUUCACACCGCUCCUUUAGCCGUGGGUUGUGCGUCUGGGUCAUGUCGGGAAGCUGGAGGUAUUCGAAACUAUUCCAGCAGGACCUGUGUAUGAGGCUUUCUUCUGAUUUCUCUGGGAACCUUUGGGCACCUGUUGAUAGGUGCUGCCGAGCCCACAGACUGCAGGGCUGCGAGAGUCAUUAGAUCAGGAGUUUUCCUUCCAGGGCAGACUGUGUGGCGCUUCAAGGAGGGCUGGUUGUGCCUCCAUCACCACGUCGACAGGGAAACAGGAUAAUUUGGAGGGAACAGAGAGGAUUUACCCAGGGAGCCACAACGACAGGAAAAAAUAGUUGUGCAUGUUGUCAGUUCCCUUUCCUUUGUUUCUUGAUGUGUUUCUGGCUGUGACAUUUCUUCAGUGCUCAUAUUUACAAAUUUAUAAAUGUACACAUAUCGUCUAGGGAGUUCCCAUUGUGGCGCAGUGGAAACGAAUCCAACCAGCAUCCGUGAGGACAUGGAUUUGGUCCCUGGCCUCGCUCAGUGGGUCGGGGAUCCUGUGUGGCCGUGAGCUGUGGUGUAGGUCACAGAUGUGGUUCGGCGUUGCUGGUGGGGGCCGGCAGCUCUGAUUCGAUCCCUAGCCUGGAAUUUCCUUAUGC